rnacentral:rRNA from 1 species
CCUACGGGUGGCUGCAGUGGGGAAUAUUGGGCAAUGGGCGCAAGCCUGACCCAGCAAUGCCGCGUGAAGGAAGAAGGCUUUCGGGUUGUAAACUUCUUUUACAGGGGAAGAGCAGAAGACGGUACCCUAAAAACAAACCACGGCUAACUACGUGCCAGCAGCCGCGGUAAGACGUAGGUGGCAAGCGUUGUCCGGAUUUACUGGGCGUAAAGGGCGUGUAGCCGGGAAGGGAAGUCAGAUGUGAAAUCCGGGGGCUCAACCGCCGAAUUGCAUUUGAAACUGUUUUUCUUGAGUACUGGAGGGGCAGACGGAAUUCCUUGUGUAGCGGUGAAAGGCG